UUAAGAAAAAAAGGGAGAAGGUUAUAGAGGUAAUUUUAACUAUUUUUUAGGCGAUUUUAAGUAAUUGUUGGGCGAUGUAUAGAAAUUCAGUUAUGAAUAUGAGGGCUUUUUUUUUUUUUGGUAAUUUAGAUGCAAGAUAUCCAUUGCUUAUGUAUAGGAUUUGAAAGUUUGGAGAGAUUUGCACAUCUUGGUAGUUGGACUAUAUCUGGGUUUACUAUUUAGAUUGAUUUAUUUUUAACUUUUAGCAACGCAUAUAAGGUUUAAUAGUUAAUUAGGAUGGUUUGUUUCUUUUUUUAAAAAAAAAAAGAAUUAUUGCUUUAAUUAUAAAGAGGUGGAGUUUAAAAGCUCAUUCAUUUAUGCAAACUCGUUUGAGUUUAGGCGAGCUCAAAACGUAAGUGAGCAUUUGCUCACGCAACCAAAAAUGCUUAACGAUAUUAGCCCAAACAAGAAAUUUAAAGCUAUCUUGAGCUCGAGCCAUAUCCCAAACAAUUACAAUACUUAUCAAGUUUAGCUCAAACACGCUAAACCGACUUCGCUCGACUUAAUCAUCCCUACGUAUAAUACACAUUGCACCUCACACACCUAAACUCGUGAAACUCAUGUGAAAUCCUUCCUCUCCCACACUAGACUUUAUGUCCGCAGUCGGCAUAAACUCUAAGAAAAACACAAUAUAGGCGGCUAUGAUUCAUUCAACUUACUUUUAUCUAAACUUAAUUCAACUUAUUAGAACUUAUUAGUCCUUAUCAGACCUUAUCUAAAUAUAUUAGACCUUUUUCUUAUGAGAGUGUCGACUCUACCUUUGCUGAACUAAAUUUAUUAGACCUUAUCAAUCUCAAUUAGAUCUUAUGUGAACUUAUAAGGAGUGAAAUUAAAGUUAAAUUAACAAACCACUUCACCGUGACCCAUACCGGACACUGGAUUUUCACCCAAAAAAAAAAACCUUACCGAAACGACACAGUAAAAUUCUUGCGGUUAAAUUCCCAAUAACUCAUCGUUCCCUGUUCUUUCCAUUUCUUGAAUUUUCGCAAUCAAAUUCCACAUUUUUGUAAAUGUUCUCUGGUAAUUUCAGUUAAUUAAAUUACCUAUAUCAGGAAAAAGAUUAGGUUUAAUUUACAGCGAAGAAUCAGAAAUGCAGCCACCUGAUUAGCAUUCAAAAGUGCUUUUGUAGAAUAAGAAGGUGUUGCCCGGUGGGAGGGAGGUAUGCAUAUAUCUUCUCAAAAUCCCAUUGUUUUACUCUUUUUCCUUCAUAAGGUAAGGAGAUUAAUGGCGUAGUAUUGAUAUUUGCAUACCAUUUCAACGUUUAGUUUCAUUGGUUUGGAAAGAGUUUUAGGAUAUAUUUUGUUUGUCAUAAUGAAAUCUGUGUUGCUAUUUGCCAAUGUCAUUUUCCUCUCGCUAUCCUUAAAGAUCAGGGGUAUUUGACACUCCGUCAUCAGGAUCAUGGAAGUGGCCUAUGUUUAGGAGAUCAAUGAUGGAGUAGUGAUACAUUUUGUUUGCACAUUUAGUUUGAUUGGCUUGGAAUUAUAUAGGAAGUUUUCGUUGUUCAUACAGGAAUCUCAGUUGCCAAUUCCACUUUCGUCUUGCUAUCCUUGAAGAUCAGUGGUACUUGCCAACCGGCCAGUCCAUUAGGAUCAUGGAAGUGUUUCUUAUCUUUAUUUGCCAAUCUAGUGUUCACGUUAUCCUUAACAAUGAGUUGAACUUGUGUGAGACAUUUGUACAAUUUUGUUUGUAAAUCAUGUCUUUAUGCAUACCAAUAUGUGGAAACAGAUUUUAAGGAUUGAAUUCUGUUUCCUUGCAUGCAAUUCUAAGUGUCAGUUACCAGUUGUCACAUAAGAAGUGCCGUUUUUUUUUCUUUUUCUUUUUUGGUGCUGUAGCUACUAGAAGAGGUCAACAAUUGUUUCUUAACUUUACAUAGUGCAAUCAUCCAGCAUUCAAGAUUUUCUUUGUCUUUGAUAUAGACAUUGUAGGCACACCAUUGCUGCUCCAUUGUAAUCUUUUCCCUAUGUUUCAAAUAGGGGAAAAAGAAACAGCCCAUAAAACACAGUGAAAGAAUAAUAUUUGCUACUCUAUGAGAUUCAUGGAUAAUGAUGUUAUUUUCUUUUCCCAUUCUUGUACUAUGAAAUAAUGUAUAUCCUUGAGAUGGAAUACUUUGCGCUCAUAAGUCAUAAGUGACCCCUUUACUCCCUAGUGGAUGGGGAACUUUCUUGAAAGAGUACUAGCCUACUAAGAGAAUUUAAUGAAUAACAUACCUUUAUAAUAGGUAAUCUGAAAAACCGAAACUCUCCAGGGUAUAAAUGCAUUGCCUGAAUGCUUAUGUUGAAAAUAAACAAAAUCAAUAAGAAAAAACAGCUUCUGUAGGAUAGAGCUGCGUGCAUGAUGCCACCAAUUGGAAUGGUCAUUCCUGAUAUCUUAUGUGAUUAUAGUACAAUGGAUUAAGGCGGUUACUCAGGCCUAUGGUCAAUUUAUGUUCAUACAUAAUUUUAAUCUAGGAAAUAGUGGUUAUGGGAUAAAAUCCUUACGGAUUUUAGUUUUCCAGCAUAUGCUGCUUUGGCAUUGAGAUAUAUUGCCAAAUUUAUCGCCAUUUGUUAUCUUCACACCUCCUUAUACCAGUAGCCAACCGGUGAUAUUGAGCUUCGAGUAUAUGAGCAUGAAUGGAUUUUCGUGGGCGAAGACUGGUAACCGGGAACAACGCAAUAGUUUUACCAUAUGUAGGUUGUGUACAUACUUAAGCAUAUACGGAGAAUCUCCAAGGAGCGCACCAUCCAUCAAAAACAUUGUAUUUGGUUAUUUAGGGACCUAUCAUCAUUCAUAACUGCUGCAUAGAAUCAUUUUGAUGAAGUUUAUAUUUGGUAAUAUUUAUAAUUCAUGUAUAGGUUAAAAAGAGGAUCCGGUCCUUUGGGCGGCCUCAUCAAUUAUUCCUAGGUAUUUUUGUCUUAAAUUUGAUUAACUCCAAAAUAGCCGCUACUCUUCUCCUGCACAAUAGCCUUCUUUCUCUACGCGGCUGGUUAGUCACAGAUUCGUGGUGACAAAAUGUUUAAAGGUCUUGAUCUUCCUGGGAAAGAAUUUAUACUCCCAAACAUAACUAGCCCGUGGUUGGUGGAAGAGUUUGUUGUCUAUCCUGAAGUUUCUGACCAAAUAGAACAAGAGUCAUACCCUACUGCUAUACUUGAUGAUUCCUGUAUCUCUGAAGUCAUGAGAAACCCAUCUAUUCCACUUGUGGAAUCAGUGGAAGCUUUUGCUUUGGGGCUUAUAGAAACUCCUUUCGGGUAUUCUUCUGUCAAACCAAAUGUUGAUAUUCCCAUGAACAAGCAAGAACUUCAUGGUCUUCAGCCUUUUACAGUGGUCAAAACAGAAUGUCAGGAUUUUCCUGAAUCUUCUCUUGACCAGACUGUUCAAAGUGAUGCCAAUGCAUCUACUGCAAACUCCAACUGCCCUAAGCUUGCCUUAGUGGAUGAACAACUUUCACUAGCUAUUCUUGAACAAUUGAAGGCUCUGUCUGCAAAGUAAACGAUGUAAUUGAGACUCCAGUAACCAAUAUGGAUUUCCCUUAUGGAGCGUCACAAAGUGGGAUCCUUCACAAGAAAUUAGAAAGUCAAUGCUCCAUUUUCUAGCAUAUAGAGAAAUCUUAGGAACCGAGUUUAGGAAUUAUUAAGCCACAUAGAAUAGAGAUCCUCUUAGAAGUAUAUCCUGAUCUCAGGAAGACUUGUAUGUAGUGAUGUUAAUUUUGGUAUUAUUAUCAUACUUGCUUUAGUGUAAAAUUGCAAUCUCAAUUGAUAGAGUUCUUUUAAAUUGUCUGAAUCUUUAUUUAUAUUCUUUUUGUUGGAAGGAAGAAUCUUUAUUUAUAUGUUCACUUGUUCCAUUAGUGACCAUAACUACACGUUAAAAAAAUUUGACCAUAUAUGUGAUCUUUCUAUGUAACAGAAAGAAAUGAGGUUCUUGGUGAAAUUGGAAACUUCGGCAGUACCAUCUGGUCAAAUUGCAUGAAUCCUUUAUCUAGUAAACUCAAAACAUUUCUUCUCUUGUUCUAUUAAUGGCAUUGUUUGUUUAAGCUUGUACGCACCCGUGAAGUAUCAAUUUCUCUUAGUUUGCUAAAUGGUAAUUAUACAAGUAUUUGGGUAGUCCAGUCUUUGAUUAUUAAAGUGAACAUAAAGUCCUGUGAUUCUCUCAAUCUUUGUUGCACAUUUGUUUAAUUAUGUGAAAGCACGAUAAAGCUGGUGUUGUUUAGUAAUAGAUAAUGUAUGUGUUCUCAAUCUCUGCCAAGUAGGUAAGCACCAUCCUUCAUCUUGUAUAUGGUAACAAAGUAACAGUUGUGGCGUGUAUCAUUAUUCUUCGAGAUAUAAUGAGAUUUCUUGUUUCUUUGAAGCUUGAAAGUUUUAGAGUU